rnacentral:lncRNA from 1 species
GGUUCAAAGACAGACUGCAAGCCAGUCUCUUUCAGGAUGAAAGGAGAGGAAGUCCUGCUUCUAUAAUCCCCAGCUGAAGAGAGUCUCCCACCAGGACAGAGUGUUUUAGGUUGUGCUAUCCCAGAGGUGAACCAUGGUCUAAGUAACUGCGAGGAGAUACCAUGAACCCCUGAGUACAUGAUGAAGAAGCAAGAAGAGAAAGAAGCCAAUACAAGAAGCAUUAGUGAUCAGGCUACCUCUGGGCACAGCUUUAAAGAUGUCACUGGUAUCUAAAGAAGAGGCCAAGGAAGCUGCUGAACGCCCUGCGGUGCACAGGGCAGCCCCACCACAAGGUUGCUCAACUUAAUGCCAGCUGCUUCAAGGUUGAGAAAUUCAGCUUCGUUCUUCACCCAGAACUCAUCUGAGCUGUGACUCUCCUUACGUCAUAGAUGAUAAUUCCAGAAGCACGUAUAUGUUGAUAUUUCACAUUUAAAAAUGCAAACAUGAACCAGUAAGAGACAUUUCCCAUCUCUGUGUAGCAUCUCUGUACAUCAUCAGUGAGUCAUGGGUUAUAAGAGGCAUGCCUUUGGCUGUUAGGAUCCCUUCUGCUCAAUUCAUUUCCUGUCCACCAUGAGAUAAGUAGCUCCUGUCACAUGCUCUGCCUGCUGUGACACUCUGCUGUACUGUUUACCCAGAAUCAAUGAAGCAGGACUACAGACCGAUUUCUCUGAUGCUGUGAGCCAAAAUAAACCAU